rnacentral:tRNA from 1 species
GCCUUCGUGGUGUAGUGGUCAGCACACUCGGCGCGUAUUCGAGAGGUCCGUGGUUCGAAUCCCGGCGAGGGUU